CGAACGCUGGCGGCGUGCUUAACACAUGCACGUCGAACGGAAAGGCCCUGCUUUUGUGGGGUGCUCGAGUGGCGAACGGGUGAGUAACACGUGAGUAACCUGCCCUUGACUUUGGGAUAACUUCAGGAAACUGGGGCUAAUACCGGAUAGGAGCUCCUGCCGCAUGGUGGGGGUUGGAAAGUUUCGGCGGUUGGGGAUGGACUCGCGGCUUAUCAGCUUGUUGGUGGGGUAGUGGCUUACCAAGGCUUUGACGGGUAGCCGGCCUGAGAGGGUGACCGGCCACAUUGGGACUGAGAUACGGCCCAGACUCCUACGGGAGGCAGCAGUGGGGAAUAUUGCACAAUGGGCGGAAGCCUGAUGCAGCAACGCCGCGUGCGGGAUGACGGCCUUCGGGUUGUAAACCGCUUUCGCCUGUGACGAAGCGUGAGUGACGGUAAUGGGUAAAGAAGCACCGGCUAACUACGUG
rnacentral:rRNA from 1 species